CACGUAGGGUGCGAGCGUUGUCCGGAAUUAUUGGGCGUAAAGAGCUCGUAGGCGGUGUGUCGCGUCGGCCGUGAAAACCUGCAGCUUAACUGUGGGCGUGCGGUCGAUACGGGCAUCACUGGAGUUCGGCAGGGGAGACUGGAAUUCCUGGUGUAGCGGUGAAAUGCGCAGAUAUCAGGAGGAACACCGGUGGCGAAGGCGGGUCUCUGGGCCGGUACUGACGCUAAGGAGCGAAAGCGUGGGGAGCGAACAGG
rnacentral:rRNA from 1 species